CAUACACACACACAUUACCAGUCUUCUCCAUCUCUACAUUUUAAGCUAAAAACCCUAAACACCAAACAAAUCCACUAUCCUCCUCCUCCUCUCAAGCCCAGCCGACAACCCUCCUCCCUCUCGGUUCCCCCUUCACACCUCGAUAGACAGCUGCCGGAGCCGGUUAACCGGCGCUCCGGUGUUGUGUAAUCGGACCAGACGACUCCCCCUGUUGAUCGUUGAUAAAAAAAACCAGCCACCACUCUUUGGUGGUGGCAUACGAUGGCUGAACGCGGAGAGAGAGGGGGAGAUCGAUGGGUUCCCGACGGCGGCAGAGAAGGAGCUCCGAUGAUCUGUACUCCGGGUGUUUGGGGGUAUGACGACAGGCGGCACUGACGCCGUCUGCUGCGGAGCGACGGUGGUGGGGGUGAACGACAAUGGUGGCGGUGAAGCUUCACCGCGACGGUCUGUGCAUCGGUCCGACCAUUUCACCGGUAAACCUGCUUCUUUUGCUUUGUUUCUGAAAAAGUCAUGUUGAUGGUGGCUGGUUAUUGUUGAAGAUGAUCAUUUGAUAUAUUUUUUUUGUUUGUUUCGGGAUAUAUUCUGGUCUCGUGGCUCCGGUUUUGGUUCAAGAUGUUUCACUCACGGGUUCGGGUUACGGUUAACGGGUUCAGACUUGAUGACGGCCCAGGUUUCGACUUCGAGUUCAAGUCAACACGGUCAAGCAGUCAACCAAGUCAAACCAAUCAACAUAUUGGGUUGACCAGUCAAAUCUGGUCAACAGAAGACUCGGCUCGGUUCAGUUUUGCGGGUCCGUUUUGGUUCGGGUCAAGGUUCGGUCAACAAAAUUCAACAACGGUCAACCUCAGUCGACUCGGUCAACACCCGAGUCAACUCGGGUCAACAGACAGUCAACUGAGGUCAAACUCAGUUAACGAAUGUCAUAGGUGCACGCUAGCUAAUUCACGUUCUUGGAACGACACUAAGGA